UACAGAGGUCUUAAGCGUUGUUCGGAAUCACUGGGCGUAAAGGGAGCGUAGGCGGGGUCUUAAGUAAAGUGUUUAAUCCCGGGGCCCAACCCCGGACCGGCAUUUUAAACUGGGACUCUUGAAUAGUGGAGAGGUCGGUGGAAUUGGGGGUGUAGCGGUGGAAUGCGUAGAGAUUCCCAAGAACACCAGUUGCGAAGGCGGCCGACUGGACACAUAUUGACGCUGAGGCUCGAAAGCAUGGGGAGCAAACAGG
rnacentral:rRNA from 1 species